CACGUUGCCGCGCAGGUCGUGCGGCGUGCCGGCGUCACGCCGGCACGGUUCGAUGCGAUACGCGGCGAGCCGUCGUUCGGUCACGACGCAGCGAUAC
rnacentral:tRNA from 1 species